rnacentral:rRNA from 1 species
AUUGAACGCCGGCGGCAGGCCUAACACAUGCAAGUCGAGCGGUAACAGGGAUCAGCUUGCUGAUUCGCUGACGAGUGGCGGACGGGUGAGUAAUGUCUGGGAAACUGCCUGAUGGAGGGGGAUAACUACUGGAAACGGUAGCUAAUACCGCAUAACGUCGCAAGACCAAAGAGGGGGACCUUCGGGCCUCUUGCCAUCGGAUGUGCCCAGAUGGGAUUAGCUAGUAGGUGGGGUAACGGCUCACCUAGGCGACGAUCCCUAGCUGGUCUGAGAGGAUGACCAGCCACACUGGAACUGAGACACGGUCCAGACUCCUACGGGAGGCAGCAGUGGGGAAUAUUGCACAAUGGGCGCAAGCCUGAUGCAGCCAUGCCGCGUGUAUGAAGAAGGCCUUCGGGUUGUAAAGUACUUUCAGCGGGGAGGAAGGGAGUAAAGUUAAUACCUUUGCUCAUUGACGUUACCCGCAGAAGAAGCACCGGCUAACUCCGUG